rnacentral:tRNA from 1 species
CCCUCCGUAGCUCAACGGUAGAGCAUCCGGCUGUAGCCCGGGUUACCCAAGUUCAACUCUUGGCGGGGGGA